rnacentral:rRNA from 1 species
UACGUAGGGUGCAAGCGUUAAUCGGAAUUACUGGGCGUAAAGCGUGCGCAGGCGGUCCGUUAAGACAGAUGUGAAAUCCCCGGGCUUAACCUGGGAACUGCAUUUGUGACUGGCGGACUCGAGUAUGGCAGAGGGGGUAGAAUUCCACGUGUAGCAGUGAAAUGCGUAGAGAUGUGGAGGAAUACCGAUGGCGAAGGCAGCCCCCUGGGCCCAAUACU